GCUAGUCGCGCGGGUUCAGACCCGCGGCCAACAGCUCCGUAACACGUGGCCAAACUACCCUGUGGACCGGGAUACCCUCGGGAAACUGAGACUAAUCCCGGAUACGAACCCCGCGCUGGAAUAGCGGGGGUCCGAAAACGCCCCGGCGCCACAGGAUGUGGCUGCGGCCGAUUAGGUUGACGGUGGGGUAACGGCCCACCGUGCCGAUAAUCGGUACGGGUCGUGAGAGCGAGCGCCCGGAGACGGACUCUGAGACAAGAGUCCGGGCCCUACGGGGCGCAGCAGGCGCGAAACCUUUACACUGCACGCCAGUGCGAUAAGGGGAUUCCGAGUGCGAGGACAUACUAGUCCUCGCUUUUCUGGACGGUAAGGACGUCCAGGAACAAGGGCUGGGCAAGACCGGUGCCAGCCGCCGCGGUAAUACCGGCAGCCCGAGUGAUGACCGCUCUUA
rnacentral:rRNA from 1 species